GGGAAAAUAGCUCAACUGAUAGAGCAUCAGACAUAUAUGCCUGAGGUUUCUGGUUCAAUUCCUGGUAUUGCUU
rnacentral:tRNA from 1 species